CAGAUGAGAGCAGUUGGCAGUUAUUUUGCAGGAGGCUUCUCAGGGAUGAAGGCAAGCUGGCCCCUAGCUGAUCAGCUGGUUGGUGAGGACUCUUCACGAAGUAAGGGACCAUUGUGAAGAUGGAAGAAUGCCCACAAAAUCCAGCUUGAAACCUGCUGGCUCUGAGGGUCCUGCUGGCUCAGCAGUGCUGGUAACCAAGAAGUAUCGCAGGCCCAGGAAAGUUACCCUUCUAUUUGCGGAGAGCUAUUGCCUAUCGGCCUGGACCAGCAGAUAACUCAGCACUCAUGAUCAGCUGUCAAGCUAUAACGGAGUGUUGAGGCAGUCCCUGAAACCACAGCGCCAUUUUGUAGGAACUAAGAAGCCAACCUCAAGGAAUCACUCGCCCCAAGAAGACUUUGUUCUGAUCUGAUGUGUUUCUAGCCUGGUGGAGCCUCAGCUAUCCAAAGGAAGAGCUGUUAAGAUGAUUGGAAUUUUGGUUUUUCCGAUUCACUCUUUUUUCUCUCCAGCCAUCUGCCUUAGACAGCAGGAGAAAAGGAAACUUAGCCUCAGAGGUGGGGUCCUUCGGAAGGACUGACAGUGGGCUAGCUCUCCUGCUGCUGGGAGCCUGAGUGCCUUUGGCUCCUUGUCCAGACCUCAGCUUUACCACGGAGGUUACCUGCUUACCAUCAACAUCGAAACUUGCCUCUUCCCCUGGGUGUAUUCUCCCUCUUUUGUGUACAGUUUGAUUCCUCCAAACUGCUCUCCCUGUGAAGAAAGCCGAUGGAAUUCAGGGAGCCUGGCCAGCCACCCAGGCCUUUAUAAAGGUCCUCGUACCACAGGAUGUAUGGGAGACCCAAUAAAGACUUUUGCAAAAUGC
rnacentral:lncRNA from 1 species